UAAGGAUGAUCAAGAAUUGGAACUCUUUUAAAAAAGAACUUUCCUUUUUGAUCUCAUUAGACACAAGGUUUAAACAUGAGUUUGUUUAAACUGUGCAUAUGAGGCUAACUCUCAAUGAAUUUCUCUCACCAAAAGAGACCCCUCUUGGUAACAAAGAGGAUCCCCCCCCCGUCUCUUUGAGGCCCCUACCUCGGAUGAGAGAACUAUUUGAGGGCUUAGUGCUCAUGUGUUGAUACAAUAAAUGCAGAACAUGCCGUCUUCGUUUCUCUUUCUUCAGAUGAUGAUCCCAAGCCUUCUGGCGAUCACUUAAAACAAGCCUAGCCUGCUUUAAAAAAAAUAGGGCAUUUAGAUAUACUUUUAAGCUCUUAUGGAUCUUAAAAGUCAUAAAUUUAAAAAAAGGCUUUAUGAAGAAAGCACUUUAAGCUUUUCCAAUAAUUUAAGAUGAUACCGGGGAAGGUUUUCCGGUUUAUCCCGGAGGGCUUG
rnacentral:misc_RNA from 1 species